rnacentral:lncRNA from 1 species
UUUUUUUUUGUUUUUAAACUUUUUAAAAGCACACAACAGAAUUAAAUGACUCUCUAAAACUUCCGGGUUGUCCCCCUGGCAGCCCUUUUUUAAAGCCAUUACGCUAGGCAUAAAGUGCUCAAGUAAUUGAUCCACCCAAAUCCCAAGGUAUAUCAAAGCCAAUUUUUAUAAACAAUGAUUUGUAUUUUAGUAAUGAGCACAAGUAGUAUAUAUCAUGCAACAACGAAGUCUAACUCUCUUCCUAUGCAUCGGCAUGUCAUUAAAGAACAAUUCAUGCACAUCAAGUAAAGGCCAAUGCAUAGUAUAAAUAGUUUCUUGCAAUUUUAUCGUAGUUCCUCUCUCAUGAUAAUUGCAAGUAGGAGCAGCAAGCACAUGCAUAUUAUAUCUAUCAAAAUCAUCAUGUGUAGUGGUAAAACGCAACCCAUCAAUAUAAUCCUUAAUAAGCGCAAACUUCUCCGAUAUAGUGUAGUUGGGAGAAUUCAAAAAGAUAAUAGGACUAUCAUACGUGGGUGCAAUAGCAACAAUUUCAUUCUUAACAUAAGAAACUAUAGCAAGUUUAUCUCCAUAAGCAUAAUUCAUAUCGGCAUCAUGGCCACAAGCAUAACAAACAUCAAUUUCAUCAAAAAGGGAUAUUUCAAACGAAUCCAAGGGAUCAUAGCAUUCAUCCUUUGAUACAACUCUACGCACACUUAACGUUCGCUUUACCUAGAAUAAGUAUGAAGCUAGAAGUACUUUGUAGGUGUAAACGAAUAUGUUUGCAAGAUAAUAAAGAACGCGUAAAUAAAAAGCUAGGGUUGUUUAGAUAAAGAAACGAUUAAGUUAGUUUUAGUAGAGAGUUUUUUGUCACGAGAAAGUUAUUUGUCCCUAGGCAACCGAUAACUAGAUCGAUAAUCAUUAUUGCAAUUUUAUAUGAGGGAGAGGCAUAAGCUAACAUAAUUUCUCUACUUGGAUCAUAUGCAUUUAUGAUUGGAACUCUAGCAAACAUCCGCAACUACCAAAGAUCAUUAAGGUAAAACCCAACCAUAGCAUUAAGUAUCAAGUCCUCUUUACUCCCAUACGCAACAGCCCACUUACUCGGGUUUGUGUUUCAGUCACUCACGCAACCCACUAUAAGCGAAUCAUGAACAUAUUGCAACAACCUAUAGCAGGGAUCCCUCACGCUUGCGCGACACGAAGAGCAACCAUAGGACAGCACCAAUAAUAAAACAUACAACUCAAACAAAUCACGAUCAUCAAUCAACCCAUAGGACAAAACGGAUCUACUCAAACAUCAUAGGAUAGCCACAUAUCAUUGGACAAUAAUAUAUAGAGUUGAGCACCAUGUUUAAGUAGAGAUCAUAGUGGGGAGAAGAGGUGUUACACCGCUGCAUAGAGAGGGAGAGAGUUGGUGUUGACGGUAGCGAGGUUGUUGGUGUAGCGAGGUUGACGGUAGCAUUGAGCGCCUCCGGGAGAGAGGGGGAGAGAGCCCCCCUCCUUCUUCUUCUUCCUUGACCUCCCCCUAGAUGGGAGGAGGGUUUCCCCUCUGCUCCAUGGCCUCCAUGGCGGCGGAGGGGCGGUAGCCCCUCCGAGAUUGGAUUUAUCUCAUUGUUUCUCUUCUGUUUCGCAACCCCGUUUUCUGGCCUUUCACCGUUUCUUAAAUAUCCGGAGAUCCGUAACUUCGAUUGGGCUGAAAUUUUAACACGUUUUUAUCCAGAUAUAAGCUUCCUUUCAGACAAAGGACACCUCCAACCGACCUACGGGGUAGCCACAAGCUUGCCAGGCACACCCUGUGUAGGGGGGCACCCCCCUUGAGCUUGUGGGCUCCUCGGGCAUCGUCUCGCGUUGAUUUCGCUUCCCAAAAAUCAAAUAUAUUCCAAAAAAAUAUCUGUAAAUUUUUAUUGUAUUUGUAUUUCAUUUGAUAUGGAUAUUCUGCGAAACAAAAAACAUGCAACAAACAGGGACUGGCACUGGGCACUAGAUCAAUAUGUUAGUCCCAAAAAAUGAUAUAAAAUGUUACCAAAAGUAUGUAAAAGUUGUAGAAUAUUGGCAAUCAAAAAUUAUAGAUACGAUGGAGAUGUAUCACGCGCGGGGCGCUCGCGGGGCGGGGUGAGUGUCGGCAGCAGUAGAGCUACCAGCAGUAGCAAAUCGAGGGGACAUCGGGGGGAGUGCUCUGCUCACCGCGGAGGCGCACGAAGGCCCGGCGAGGGUCGGGAGCACAGGACGGCGGCGAAAUCGUCAAAGAUCGUCGGCGGCCGGAGAGGAAGAAGAGGAUCGACCCGGACGUGGAAGGGUGUUGGACUUGAGCUCGCGGACGCAGACGACGAAGCGGGCAACGGUGGUCCUACUGGAAACGGUCCUAGGAUACUGGUGCUCAAUGGGUGCGAGGGCGACGGCGGCCAUGGCCCAUGGUGAUGCGGCAUCGUGUGCGUGAUGUGGGGAAGAGAGCGAGCGAGGGAGAGGAGGGAAGUGAGCUAGGGUUUCACCAAGGGUUCGUGGGAGACGCCCUUAUCCUCUCCACGACGUCCUGUAGUGCCACGCGUGCAAUGGCUGCCACGCCAUGGCGAUGCUGCUCCUCGUGGAAGGGAGGAGAAAGGCCGGCUCAGCUGCGCUGGGCCGCACUGUAGCCUCUAGAGGUCCAGUCCAGCGGUAAGUAUUAGUCUUUAAUUUUUAUACUUUUUCUGUUUUCUAUUUUUCCUAUUGUUUUGUAUUAAUUUGAGCUACUAAAUGCAUUUAGUUAAAUGUGCAAUUUAGCACAUAAAUAUUAGGCGAGGUUUUUAGUUAGUACAAUUCGUUGCAAAUUAUUUUGAAUAAUUUAAAUUUUUAUUUAAAAUAAAUUGAUUCAAUUAAAAGCUUAUGGGUCAAUUAUAAAUAGCUUAGGAGCAUUUAAAUAUUUUGAAAAAAUGUUGGUUCUUACAUGACAAUUAGUUAGUGAAUAUUUGCAACCGAACCUCCAUUUUUAUUUUACCUUUUAAAAAAUUUAAUUAUUAAACUUGGAUUUGAAUUUGACUUGGUUUUCAACUAAGAGGCAAUUAACCUUAACAAAAAAGUGGUGACAUGGCAUCAUUAGUUAGAGAUUACUGUAGCUUAAUUAUAGGGGUGUCACACCAGUUCGUCCAUCUGUCAAAAGAAUAGACAUGUGGGACAGCCAAUGGCCGAACGACACGAUUCCAAUAGUCGGAAUUUGAGCACAACGGUAACAUUUCUUGCGGAGCAAGAAAUGCUAACUCCUCAGUCGAAAAGACAUCUCCUGCAGCACCGAAGAACUACAUCUUCUGCUGACAGGUAAUCAUUCGGAGCAUAAAGAGAUUUCUCUCAGUCUUGCAUAGGUUUGGGCUAAGCAUCAGAGAAGGUCUAAGCUUCGAGAACCUAUACCCCUCUUAAUAGUAUGGAAGUCCUUUGACGCAAGAAAGAGAAGAAGAACAACGAAAUGAAUUCUACAUCUUCUCGUCGCCUUUGGUCUUCUUAGUCAAUUCUCGUCGGACAAACACCGAACCAAUUGCUUCACAUCAGCAAUAGACUUUAAGGGGUCAACUUCUUCACAUCAAUCUUCUCGCCUGAACGGCCUCAAGAGAUAUGACCGAAUCUUCUCUGCAUCUCAAAUAUCCUUCGACGAAGUUCCUUGAACUUAGCACCGAAGAUGGCAUUCUCUUCAGUUUCACAUGGACUAUUUCUCUCUGUGUGCACUACCAAACAAAUCAGUCCAUGUCUGUUUCUGUCAACAAUCUCCAAAACACAAGAGGGCAAGAAUUGCACCAACAAACGAUCUUGCUAAAUUAGUGGUGCAUGACAGAUAAGCAUACUACAUUUCCAGUGGUCUAUCAAGAGCUAGUAUUGAUAUCGUCGGUUUCCAUGGAAUCAGUUGAGAGAUGCUUCUGGUCUAUGAUUGUUGUCAAUACAAAUAUGUAUUAAAAUGGGUGAUCAAUCCAUGAGUGGGUAUCAGACGAGAGAAAUAUCUUAACCAUUUGUAAAUAAUGAUGAUGUUACUGAUCUUUUCAAGAAGAUGAUAAAUUGAUCAGAAAAAAUUCAAAUGGUAGCGACUCUACAUGUUUCGCUUAAUUGUACUUUCUAUAACUUAAGAAACUAUGAUGUCAUUUCUGUUUUUAUUAGGAAGAUCUAAUCUAGCUGUCCAUGAAAAUACAAAGUUGUUCGUUUGAUUACUGUGUUUGAAACGUGUGAUAAGAGGUUUUACAAUUUCAUUCAACUAGUAUUUACUAACCCUGUAUUUUUAUGUAACUAUUAUAUGUAGCAUGAUACUUCGGUUUCUAAUGUUGUCUUUUAAGUGUUAUAAUUUGCGAUAUGAGAUUGUAAAAAUAGUCGGAGGUCAAGCUAUGUACAUAUUGGGGGGGGCAUUGGCCCCCAGCCUCAGAUCAAGUUGAAGGAUGCUUUUUGGGAGAGUCUAGAUUGGAAUAUAUUUUUAGCAAGCUCCAUCAUUGCAAAUAAUAGUUAGUUCAUACCCAGAUUCUUAGUGAACCCAUUGGUAAAAAAUCUGGCUUCGCCCCUGAACGACACAAACAAGGGAAGCCAGUCGUACAGUGGUGUUCCUGCCCUCCCCCUUUGUGAUCAGCCACAGACAGUGGCCGCAAGAACAACCAAAAAGACUAUGAAGUGAUGUGGAAAUUGAAUUGUGGAAUUGAUUAUCUCCCAACUCAAACUCAAUCCAACUUGUCGCCACACAAAUUGUUGUGGAAUUCGCAUUUAUAGUCCCCUCCGAAGCAAGGGAGCAAGUGACGCAACAUGCGACUCCAUGGAGUGGCACAUCCUUGGUUUUUGUUUUCUUAUUGGGAUCUUGCUUUUCAUGGUUCCCAUCUCUGUGACUCGUGAUUUUCGCGAGAGAACUAAAACCAAGUCAGUGAAGAUCAUGAUUUGGCUGGCACGGUAUUGGGUUCCUUUGGUCAAUUUCCUUAAUUUGAUCAAUGCCUAGUAGAUUAUCCAUGGCGUCCACAUGCCAUAGGGAUCCAUUAUAACAGGUUAGUGCCUCAUUUUUGUUAGAACAAGGUUAACAAUACAUCCAAUAACCAGCUACAAGGAGUUGCCACAUCACCUAUAGUCAGUCUAAUAGUCAGACAUGUAUAGUAGCAAAUUAUAAAUAUGUACUACUUUACUAACAACUGGUUUACCUUAGAACCUCGCAAGGUGUUAGGAUUCCUAAAAUAUGUGUUAGGAUUAUUAUUAACGUGUUUUUAGAGAACUUAUCAACGUGGUUCCUAGGAGUCAGUUUUAAAAUAGAUAGGGACAGGGAUAGAGAUGACAAUGAUGUAAUAAAUUGAGUCAAUCCUUUAUUAAUGAUGAUAUUUAAUUUUAGUAUAAAGAGACAUGACAAUUAUGUUGCUACAUUACUACACUAGUCUCUCUCAUCCAUGGUGUCCAUUUCGUCGACCGCUAUGUGCAUGUGUGUGCUUAUAAGGAUGAAUGUACAUGUGUGUAUGUGACUGUCUGCGUCUGUACUAUUUCUUUAAAAAAAUAUUAUUUGUGGACGCGGCGUUUUGGAACUCGGGCUCAGAUGAGCCCGGGGAUGAACGGUAAAAUCAAAUAAAAUAGAGAAAAAUCCGAAAUGAAAUUAUGGUGCAUGAUGCUCUUGUGUGUGAACACUGUGCAAAAUCUUGUGAUGUUUGGACAUUCGAGGAGCUGAUGGAAAAAGAAAAAAUUUGGAUGUCUGAGAAAGUUUUGAAAACCGCACUGUUCACGCCUGAUUUUGUAUUUUUUGCCAUGAGCUCCUCGCAUGUCCAAACUUUUAAAAAGAAUGCACAAAGUUCACGCAGAGGAGCAUCUUGCACCCAAAAAAACUUGGAUUUUUAAAUGUUUUUCUAUUUUAUUUGAGUUUACUGUUUACCAGGUGCAUCUGAGCUCGUGUUCCGGAUUGAAUAUCGAUUAUUUGUUCUAUUCUCACGCUUGUUCUCUUGGAGCUCUAGAAACAAGGAUGACAUAGUCUCUAAUCGUGCUUCGCCAUUAGUGGUGAUGGUUACUGGCAAGGUGGUUCAAGAAAGUAGAACGUGGCAUCACGCAUGAAUUCUUCGGAGAUCACGCGCCCUUCAUCAGGGUGUCAAAUGAGUGGAGCAUUCCGGUAUAAUUGAUUUUCUUUUAGGGAGGUUGGUUCAGGUAUUUAGUGCAUUUAGUCGAUGUACUAAACAUGCCAAUGAGGCUUGCUAUCUAAACAUUUUCCAUUCUAUAGUAUAUGAUACGGCAUGUUUCUGUGUAUUCUAGAAAAGCGAUGACAGCGACGUAAUUUAAAGAGUCAAUCCUUUACUGAUGAUGAUAGUGACUUAUACGGUUAUACCAUCAGAUUAGUUGUUUUGAUGUAAUAUUGUCAUCUCACUUUAUUUUCAACUGAAACCUACCGGAAACCACAUUAAGCCAUGUCAUCAUUUAAACUAGAGCCUUAAGAUAAACACAACCGUGUCACCAUGAACGUCCAUGAAAAUACGAACUGUCAAAAGGCAAAUAAGUUGACUCGAAUCUCCACAACUGCAAAGGCCUAAUAGCGACUACAAAAAAUAAAGUUUGCGAUGGUUGCCAACUUGUCAUGCACAUCUCUGUAUAAGGUGAUGGUUGUCGGCUUGGCGCAGCAUGAGGCGCCUUUGCUCCCUUCCUGCUUCUGGCGCCUCAUCCUCCUCGUGCUAGCCGCGGAAACAGGCCAAGGCAACCUAGCAACGAAGCUCUUGAGCCCUGAGAAUCUCCUCUUGUUCUACUAGGACAUGUUUCAUUGCCCAUGGUAAAUAUGCUCAAGGGGUUGUUGCCCAAAUACAUCCGAGUUGCCAUAUUUUCCGACAAUGCAUGAUCAGUUCGGAGUUCACCCCCGGCGACAAAUGGCACCAUUGGGGAUAUAGCCAACCCAAGGGGUCGGUGUGGGGCGACAUUGGAAAUAUUAAAAUGAAUUUAAUUAUAUUUUAAAAAUAUUUUUCUAUGCCAUAUAUAGGCUUCCAGGAAUUUCUAGGAUGAUCCAUGGACCACCUUGUUCAUCCCCUAGCUACAUCCAUGUGCACUAUAAUUGUCUGCAUUAUGCCAUCUCAAUGCAUGUAUCUUUGACCUAAAAGCACGUUUAGUUGGACUGAUAGAUUUGAUGAUUGUUAAAAAGCAUUUCUUGGUCGCCAUUAGCUAGGGGAGUCCUCUGCACCAAUAACAUGUUGACAAUUUUGUAGGAACAGCUACACAUGAAUGGGGUGUAUUCAUAUACUAGAUUAUUUUAUGCGUUUUUGUAUUUAAACUAAUUGGCGUAGAAAUUUCCCAUGUGAUUGCUUCCUCUGUCUCUCCUGUUUGCGUCAAUUAUUCCAAGGCUAGGCUCUAUCUCUCCCGUUUUUCACUGCCUAUUCCAAGGCUAGGCUAAAUUUCAAAUAAUGUUUGAAACAAGUUUAGAUCGUGCAUGCUUACUGGGUUUUGAACCCUGAACCUCUUGAUUGCAAGUUUAUGCAUCUAACCAGUUCACCCAUGAGCUCAAGCUGGUGGGGAAAGGUGGAUUAUGCAUUUAUACGUCAACACUCCCCCUCACGUCUGGCUCCCUCGGACCUAGACGUGGACCGAAAGUGGACUUUAAUUUAAUUGCGUCAGCUAAGUCUUAAACUCGAGAACUUUUUGCUCUGAUACCAUGUAGAACUACACGCACCAGCCAGUUCACCCAAAAGCUCAAGCUAUGGGAAAGGGCCGGACAUUAUAGUCCAACAACAUAUUUCCUCAUGAAUCUUCCUUUAGUUCAUACAUUUCUUUAAAGAAUACAUAUUUUUAUUCAGGCUUUGCAAUUAUUGAAGUCAAUUUAAAUUAUUUUAAUAAACACAAUUUUUUCACAUAUAUUUCAAUUGUUUAGUUCUAUUUCAUUAAAUUUCUGUAACAUCUUUUAAAAUCGGUUAUUUAAUCAGAUGGCGAUCAACUUCAUAAAAAUGUCACGCAAUAUUAAAUAUUUCUUAUGACUAAUACUAUUUCACGAGAAUGUGCAUGACUUCGGAGAAUGAUGAACCUUAUUGAAGGUUCGAGUGGUAUUGGUUUGUUGGAAUCACCCAUAACUAUCUAUGGAGAUAAUGUUGCUUGUAUUGCUGAAAUUCAAACCUAAAGAACAAUAUUAAAGAACACAAUGUUUGUAAAUUAUUUACCAAUAUGAGUUACAGAAGAAAAAAAAUGGAAACAUUUUUUGACUAUAAAUAGUAGGGUAAGCACCCCACUGCAAUUUUUAUAAAUAGCAAAAAGGUCCAGAGUAACAGAUACAAUGACUCAGCUAGUGAGGUUAAAAUGGAAACAUUUUGCAAACGAAGUCAUGCCAUAAUCUCGCCGUUUUAUUUACAAAUUCAUUAUCAGGUUCUUUAUUCUAGAAAUUUGUUCAGAGGGGGUAAAUUAUCGAAUUAUAAAAUCCGCAAAUUAUUUUUAUCGAAUUGUAACAUCUUCAUGAGCGGACACCAUAUUCCUUCUUAAUAUUGCACCAUUUUCCUUUAUAAAGUUUCACUCAAACGGUUUCAAAUCAAUACAAACAUCCACACAUGCGACUUAAUUUUCUACGUACUUAAUUAGUCUUCCCAAUGUGUUUCUAAUGGCAUGUACAUUAAUGAGGCCGGGCAUUACAAGGUUGACGCCAUUUCAUUUUCUUCCUUAAGUGGCCAAUUCAUUCCGCCGUCAACAGGCUACAGUAGCCCGGGCUGCACUUAUUUGCACGGAUGCUAUGCUACAGUAGGACUGCGUUUCCAAGAAGAGCAUGCGCGCACGAACUUUGCAUGCGCGCCCUGCCCUGCCCAAGCCGGGCGCGCACGAGUUAGGCAAAAGACUUCGGGGGCCAGACUCUUUCCGUGUUCUUCCCACACCACGGCGGUAUAAAUUGCCGGCGCGCCACAUUUGUCUGCCCGGCCGGCGGCAAAAAAGAUCAUUUCGAUAGCUAGCCCCCUGAUCGAGCUAGCUAGCGAGCGAGCCCCAUGCGUGCAACUUCUUGGCAGCCCAUCUCCCUCCCUCCCUCCACCCCGGCCCCUGCCGAUCAGCUCCACCAUCCGAGAGCUUUGUAGGUGACUUACUCGCCUGGUGAUUAGCAGGCAGGAAGUAGCUGGUUUCUGACCCGGCGCACCGCCCACCUACUCGCCAUCUCCUCCGGUUCUACACCGCGGCAACACCGAUCGUUUACCCUCUGCACGUACCUAGCCCGUACCUGACGGUGACCUCCCUCCGAUCCUUGGCGCCAUGGGGAGCUCGUGCGUGAACCUCUCCCGCGCCGUCGCGGCUGCGAGGCGCCCGGGCUUCGCCGCCGGCGCCGGCGCCGGCUGCCACGGGAGGAGCGUGGUUGCAUUGUCGUCGUCGUCGUCGUCGAGGCGGCGCACCGCCGCCGACGGUGGCGUGUCGUGCGGCAUCGCCAACGGGUACCUGGGCGGGUCGCGGCCGCCUUCCUUGCCGGUGCACGGCAAGAGCUCCGGGCCCGGUUCGGCGCGGGAGGCGGGUGAUCACGAUCGCGCUGACGGGCUCGGGAUCCAGGAGUUCCUUGGCGGCAAGAACUUCCUCAUCACCGGCGGGACUGGCUUCCUAGCAAAAGGUACGUACGUCGCCAUCUUCAUAGUUUUCUCUGCCUCCACUUGAUUAUCGUUGCUGUUUUCGUGCUUGAUUUCAUUUACAAUUUCAGUUCUGAUCGAGAAAAUCUUGAGGACGAACCCUGACGUGGGCAAGAUAUACGUGCUGAUCAAGGCCAAGGACAGCGAGACGGCAUUGCAGAGACUGCAAAACGAGGUACGAUUACUAACCAACCAUACCCUAACCCUACCAGUUUUGAAUUUUGAUCUUCAUCCAAACGAUGAUAUUCUUUUCCAUUUUCCCGUGCGCGGCAUUCGUGCAGGUGGUGGACACGGAGCUGUUCAAGCGCCUGCAGGAGAUCCACGGCAAAGACUACCAAGAUUUCAUAGCGACAAAGCUUGUCCCCGUGGUUGGCGACGUCCGGGAGGCCAACAUCGGCAUUGCCCCCGAGCUGGCCGAUGAGAUCGCCGAGCGGGUGGACAUCAUCGUCAACUCCGCCGCCAACACCACCUUCGACGAGAGGUUCGUCCUUCUAUAAUAUACGUGCACUUGUCUUCUAGCUAGAGUUUUUGCAUUUCUCCAAGAUUCAGUGACUCCAUCGUGACCAGAAGAAUUUUACAUCUGAAUAUUCAACCAGGUAUGAUGUGGCCAUGGACAUCAACACCGUGGGGCCGUUCCGGAUAAUGAGUUUCGCGCAUCGGUUUCGAAGGCUCAAGCUCUUCCUGCAAGUGUCGACAGGUCAGGCUCAUGCCAUCUGCCAAAUGAAUCCUUUCCGCGUGAAAGCGAUGUUUACUUAGAAAUUUUCCCUUUGGGGGGGUUUCCAACGGUUGUGUUGCAUGACAUAACCAUGCAUGAUCGCAGCGUAUGUGAACGGGCAGAGGCAGGGUGUCGUGCUGGAGAAGCCGUUUCGGUUGGGUGACACCAUAGGGAAAGGGUCGGCUGGAUCCUCGGAUUCUUCGGAGCAGCACAAGAACGCCGUGCUGGAUAUCGAGGCCGAGAUCAAGCUGGCCUUCGAUUCGAGAAGGCGCGCCGAUGAUGACUCGGCUUCGUUCUCUCAGGAGAUGAAGGAUCUAGGGAUAGAGAGGUAGGCAAUGGAUACAUUUCUUGCCAUGACCUCCUCUUGGUCUCGGUCUGAAGGUGGAACAUUAGGUUGAUUUGCUGAAUGUGCUGGUUACUCUUGUAGAGCGAAGCUCCAUGGGUGGCAGGACACGUACGUGUUCACCAAGGCCAUGGGGGAGAUGGUGAUCAACAGCAUGCGAGGGGAGAUCCCCGUGGUGACCAUCAGGCCCAGCGUCAUCGAGAGCACCUGGAGAGACCCCUUCCCGGGCUGGAUGGAAGGGAACAGGUACGUACGUGAGUGUAAAAUGUGGUACAAUCUUGCAGAGUUCAUCAACAUUCUGUUCUGAUUUCCAUUGGCGAAUUGAUUUGCUCGACCAGGAUGAUGGACCCUGUCGUCCUCUACUACGGCAAAGGGCAGCUCAGCGGCUUCCUCGCCGAUCCGGCCGGCGUUCUAGACGUGGUAAUCAGUUACACAUUCUCUGAGCAAAUGCACUAGUGAGGCCAUGGAGCUGAUCUUGCAGACGCUAAUGGCUUUCUUGUCGUGUCAUUUGGCAAGGUUCCGGCGGACAUGGUGGUGAACGCGACGCUGGCGACGAUGGCGAAGCACGGGCGGGCGGCGGAGGGGGGAAUGCACGUGUACCACGUGGCGUCGUCGACGGUGAACCCGCUGGUGUUCGGCGACCUGAGCCGGUUCCUGUUCCAGCACUUCACGAGGAGCCCCUACAGCGACGCGGCGGGGCAGCCCAUCGCCGUGCCGCCCAUGCGCCUCUUCGACACCAUGGAGCAGUUCGCCAGCUACGUCGAGACGGAUGCGCUGCUCCGGAGCGCCAGGGCCGGCGUCCCUGCGGGCGAGCGCCUCUCGCAGCGCCUCCAGGAGCUCUGCGCCAAGUCCGUCGAGCAGACCAUCCACCUCGGCAGCAUCUACCAGCCCUACACCUUCUACACCGGCAGGUCAUCUCUCUCUCUCCCACCCAUGGCCGAGCAGGCCCAUGUAGCAUCAUUUAUAUGCUUUGUUUGCUCAAGCUGCUACCAUGCGUCGCCGGCGAUGAACGACGUAUGCAGGUUCAACAAUGGCAACACGGAGGGGCUCAUGGCGGAGAUGUCGGCCGAGGAGAAGGCGGCGUUCCACUUCGACGUGAGGAGCAUCGACUGGACGGACUACAUCACCAACGUCCACAUCCCAGGGCUCAGGAAGCACGUCAUGAAAGGGAGGGGCAUCGCCGCGGAAUCGCCACCCUCCUCCACGGUGCUCGCCGCCACCUCCACGGUGUGAACCCACCGCCUCAACACCGAACAGGGAAAUGCGCCGCGGCGUGUACACUAGAGUUAGAUUGUAUCAUGUGCCUAAGUACGUGAUCCACUGAAGAAACACAUUUGGUUGUGUUAGCAGCAACUUAACUAAGGUUGAUGUCAUUCUGUCAGAUUGAUUCUGCAUUAUAGACCUGUUUGUCCUAAACAACAGAAAAUAUUUGUUCUCCCCUCUACAUGUUGUAUUCAUUAUAGUGUACUUAUGGAAAAACAAAUAAAGCUUUGGAGAUACUGAAAUAUGAUUUAAUUAACUGAACCUUGCCGUCGAUAAUACAGAUUACAAGCCUAGUGAUACAAGCUUAAGCUACAUAUAGGAGUUCAGUCUUUGCCAAUGUAAAAUGCCAUGAUUCUAUGAAAUUGCCAAAGUGUGGAGGGAUGGCCCUUUCUUCACCUGGAACUCAGGGCAGGUGGCUGCAUGAAGCUUCUUUUGUUUCAGGAUGGCAGCAGUCUUUUGGAUUGACCAAUGGGGGUCAAUUUUACACAGGGCUCUGGUACACCCCUUUGUUAUUGUUUGUUGGCUCAUGUGCAGAUUUGGAUCCAGCAGAAUCUCACUGAUCGGUGCGGACUAUCGCAAUACAAGCUGAGAAAUGGUGCAGCCAGUUUACUCAA